UACGGGGUGGGGAAGCGUUGUUCGGAAUUAUGGGGCGUAAAGAGCUCGUAGGCGGUUCGUCGCGUCGGCUGUGAAAUCCCGAGGCUCAACCUCGGGUCUGCAGUCGAUACGGGCGGACUGGAGUACUGCAGGGGAGACUGGAAUUCCUGGUGUAGCGGUGAAAUGCGCAGAUAUCAGGAGGAACACCGGUGGCGAAGGCGGGUCUCUGGGCAGUUACUGACGCUGAGGAGCGAAAGCGUGGGGAGCGAACAGG
rnacentral:rRNA from 1 species